CGCACAUUGCGCCCCUUGGUAUUCCGGGGGGCAUGCCUGUCCGAGCGUCAUUUGCACCCCUCAAGCGUGGCUUGGUAUUGGGUCUCGCCCUCCGCGGGCGGGCCCGAAAGUCAGUGGCGGUCCGGCGAGUCUCCGAGCGUAGUAAAAUUUUCCCGCUCUGGAGACCUCUUCGGGCUUCGCCAGAACACAUCAAUCUUCAAUGGUUGACCUCGGAUCAGGUAGGGAUACCCGCUGAACUUAA
rnacentral:misc_RNA from 1 species